rnacentral:rRNA from 1 species
CAGCAGCCGCGGUAAUACAGAGGGUGCGAGCGUUAAUCGGAUUUACUGGGUUUAAAGGGUCCGUAGGCGGAUCUGUAAGUCAGUGGUGAAAUCUCACAGCUUAACUGUGAAACUGCCAUUGAUACUGCAGGUCUUGAGUAAAUUUGAAGUGGCUGGAAUAAGUAGUGUAGCGGUGAAAUGCAUAGAUAUUACUUAGAACACCAAUUGCGAAGGCAGGUCACUAAGAUUUAACUGACGCUGAUGGACGAAAGCGUGGGGAGCGAACAGGAUUAGAUACCCCGGUAGUCCCUGUCUCUUAUAC